GCCAGCCGCCGCGGUAAUACGGAAGGUGCAAGCGUUAAUCGGAAUUACUGGGCGUAAAGCGCGCGUAGGUGGUUUGUUAAGUUGGAUGUGAAAGCCCUGGGCUCAACCUAGGAACUGCAUCCAAAACUAACUCACUAGAGUACGAUAGAGGGAGGUAGAAUUCAUAGUGUAGCGGUGGAAUGCGUAGAUAUUAUGAAGAAUACCAGUGGCGAAGGCGGCCUCCUGGAUCUGUACUGACACUGAGGUGCGAAAGCGUGGGUAGCGAACAGGAUUAGAUACCCUGGUAGUCCACGCCGUAAACGAUGACAACUAGCUGUUGGGAGACAAUGUCUUUCAGUGGCGCAGCUAACGUUUUAAGUUGUCCGCCUGGGGAGUACGGCCGCAAGGCUAAAACUCAAAUGAAUUGACGGGGACCCGCACAAGCGGUGGAGCAUGUGGUUUAAUUCGAUGCAACGCGAAAAACCUUACCUACUCUUGACAUACUUGGGAGCUCUUGUAAUGAGAGUGUGCCUUUUGGAACCAAGAUACAGGUGCUGCAUGGCUGUCGUCAGCUCGUGUCGUGAGAUGUUCCGUUAAGUCGGAUAACGAGCGCAACCCUUACCCUUAUUUGCCAGCGAUUCGGUCGGGAACUAUAAGGGGACUGCCGGUGAUAAACCGGAGGAAGGUGAGGACGACGUCAAGUCAUCAUGGCCCUUACGAGUAGGGCUACACACGUGCUACAAUGGGGAAU
rnacentral:rRNA from 1 species